rnacentral:lncRNA from 1 species
GGCGAUCUCCUGAAAACACAGCUGCAUGGGGAUGGCUGGGGGAAUGGGUGAUGAGUCUGAGGCUGGUGAAGGCAGNAGCAGCCUGGCAACUUCCGUAUAAUGGUAUUGCUGCAUUAACUUAUACUUCCCCUGCUUUUUGUUUUUGCUGCUUUUACCUGAUCUCAAGCUUAAGUAGAAUUGAAGGUCUUUAAAAAGAAAGAAGAGAUCAGUCUUUUUCAGAAGAAGCCUUUUCAGGGCUUGAAAAUGUGGUGGACCACCUAAAUUUUCACUUGGUUGCCACUGCCUAGCAGAUGGCUGCAUUUUUUAGGCCUGUACAUAUGCUUUUAAUUAUUUUGGGUUGCAUUCAGCUUCAUAUUGGAGGACAUGCAGCUUCUUUUUCAUUAUGAUCUGGAUUGUAAGAGAUCAUUAUGAGAAAUUCUUUGGCUGUAACAGAGUUAACGUUGCUCGUUUUUUUCCCCUCAAUGGCAGGUGGAUGUCACAAGCUGUCUGGGUUUUUUCUGUAUCCUGGCCAUUAUCCUUUCUGUGACUGGUAUCUUCGCUGUCAUCAUCCUGGCCCUCAAUUAUAUAUACUGGCUUCACAUGCUGUAUGCAGCUGUUUCUGCCAUUGCCUUCACCCUGUUCCUUGCUUAUGAUACUCAGUUAUUACUGGGGCACAGGAAGUAUGCAAUCAGUCCAGAAGACUACAUUUUCGGAGCUAUUCAGAUCUAUGUGGAUAUUAUCUGCAUUUUCCUCUCUGUCACACAACUUUUAAGCAGCAAUUAGGAUUCAGGACGCUUAUGCUCUUCUUUUGUGGUUUGGGGAAAAUAUUAUUUUCUAACACCGAGUCCUUUAUUUUCCGCUCAUAUGACACAGCUUUUUGCAGGAGUCCUGUAAUAACAAAAGAGAUACAAAAUUCCUAUAUAUUCCACUGUCCUGACUUUUCUGUAUAGCAUACUGUGAAAGUCAUCUUUCAGUAGUGAACUUUACAGACCUUUCAACAGUAUAUAUUNAAUAAAGUUUUUUCCUUGACUGUUUCUAAAUGCUUA